UCCCGGUUAGCUUAGUUGAUAGAGCGCUCCACUGAAAUGCAGAGGUCCCUGGUUCAAUAUCAGGACCAGGCG
rfam:Ixodes scapularis strain Wikel colony gcontig_1107728565600, whole genome shotgun sequence.